GGCAGAGUGCCGCUCUGCGGAUUUACAUGAACAACGGCCGGAGGAGAGCAGGAAUCAUGAAAGCUCCUCGGAGUAAAAGAAGACCAGAUCCAUCAGAGCCGACAUUGUCCAUAUUGUACACUUCUGCCUUCUCAGUAGAACCUGACAGUGACACCACCCAUCAUUCUCCCAUCUCAGGAAGUCCACCUGAAAUCCCUCUGCACUGAAAGCUUCAUUCAGGACGUCCAACAGUUUUCUUUAUUUCUGCUCAUUACCCCUCACGCACUCUGGGCCUGCUCAGAGGAAUGCUGGGUCACAUGAGUGGGCCGGACUGACCUACUUUCAUCCAAUCAGAGGCUGCUGUCUUCUGUUCUCCUCCCCAUCUCCUCCAUGCAGCCCAGUCACAUUGAAUCUCAUGUGCUCCAGAGCAGGAGCAAAACAAAUACAGCAGCGGGGAGGAGGAGAGAGGAGACGAGCAAGCAACAGAGAGUGGGAAGGAUUUAGAAGGAGGAGGGGGGCGAGAAGGAAGGGGAGAACGCCUAGAAGAGUUCAGUAAUGAUGGAGACGACAAAAUGGAUGACUGAGCUCCUACAUGUUGGUCUCAAGAGCCGGACUCUGCUGCGUCUCCGUCUCCUCUCCGUUGGAUUCGGCCGCCGGCGCCGAGGCCUCCUCCUUUGGAGGCGGCUCGGUGGCGGUGGCUUCAGGCAGGCUCCAUGAUGUCGUCUGGGUCAUGUGACUGCCCCAAUUAAUAAAGCAGAUGGUUUCUAGGUUAA